rnacentral:snRNA from 1 species
AUAAAUUCCAUAGCCUUUUGGCUUAGAUCAAGUGUAGUAUCUGUUCUUUUCAGUUUAAUAUCUGAAACGGUUCUAUUUGAACCUUCUUAUAUUAAUCUUAUUUUUGAACCUCGGGAAUUGGCCUCUGUGCUUGCACAUGUCGAUACCCACUGUGUCACUGGUAUUGUACUGCCUCCAGUUGACGCGACCUUUC